rnacentral:rRNA from 1 species
GUAGGUGGCGAGCGUUAUCCGGAAUUAUUGGGCGUAAAGAGGGAGCAGGCGGCACUAAGGGUCUGUGGUGAAAGAUCGAAGCUUAACUUCGGUAAGCCAUGGAAACCGUAGAGCUAGAGUGUGUGAGAGGAUCGUGGAAUUCCUAGUGUAGCGGUGAAAUGCGUAGAUAUUAGGAGGAACACCAGUGGCGAAGGCGGAUUGCUGGACAGCAACUGACGGUGAGGCGCGAAAGUGUGGGGAGCAAACAGGAUUAGAUACCCUGGUAGUCCACACUGUAAACGAUGAAUACUAGGUGUGCGGGGACUGACCCCCUGCGUGCCGCAGUUAACACAAUAAGUAUUCCACCUGGGGAGU